CCUAAAAGGAAUCAAGUCUCACUAGAUUACCAUAUGUGUAAAGCACUUCUUUGAAGUAAAUUUUGUUUACCUGAAAGAAGUGCUUUACACAUAUGGUAAUCUAGUGAGACUUGAUCCCUUUUAGG